CAGAAAAGUCUGAUAGAAAGGACUGUUACACAUGAAAAAAAAUUGAAGCAAAUAAUAAGUACAGGAUAAGAACAAUAAGGUGCUGAAAUGAACUGUCACACUUUCUGUUUCAGCUUACCAAGUAAAAUUAGACAGCUCGUGUGCUGGGUGAUCAGACUCAGGAGAUCAGGCAUUUCCAUCAAACUGCAUGGAAACAGUGAUGGGUCAAGCUGGGACUACUUCUGUUUUUUCCCACUGACCUGGCAUUUUGGCUCUAAAACCUUCUUUCCAAGUACUGGGAACACUGUGAAUUUUCAGGACAUUGGGCUGCAAUUUUCCAUGUCGUUUCCAUGCCUUAAAAGAGUCUGAACCUUGAGGUUUGAAUCUUAAGAUUUUUUGUUUGUUUUUCUUGCAGUUUUAAGUUUGCUUUGUGGUUUUUGUAGAAGUUUUCAGCCAAAAUUAUUCUCAAAAGCCUCCGAAAGAGAAGGAAAGAAGGAAACAGAAAGAGUACAGGGAGGCAUAGGUCUGCAGCCCACAGAAAGGGAAGAGACCAUCAAAAACCAAAUAUUAGAAACAUGACCAUAGUGGAAUGAAGGACUUGCUGCAAGAGGAGGCUGAGAAGAAACAUGGAGUGUGGUGAGACAAAGAGAAGAUCGUCCAUCCUCCAGUUCUGCUGGAGUGACAGAGAAGGAUAUGCAAAUGCUGCUCUGAGUCAUGACUGCUGCAAAGAGUUUCAUCUCUUCGAUAACAGCAGCGCUGUGUGAAUGUGUGCAUUUCUGCUUUACGUGAUUGUCUGCACGUCCCUUGGCACACAACAAGCAACUGGGCAACAAUCCAGCUUAAAGUUCACUGAAUCUGCUGGCUGACAUCUAACUCAUCUGCAGUUCAGGUCCACAAAUAAUCUUCCACGGUCUCUUGGCAGAGGUAAGACUCAGAGACACUCCAUCUUCUUGGGCUCUCCUGCAGUUGGAGAUGCUGCCCCAAAGUGUGGAGGGACUAGCACGGGCAGGGCUGGUUAGGUGGUAGGGAAGGGGAUCUGCCUGUUUUUGGAGACAGAAGGCUUGAAUUCACAAACCAGACCACUAAUUUGAAAUUCACCAUUUGCUGGCAGCAGAUAACUUUGCAUUCAGGUUGGCAGAGUGUUUUUCAUUCUUCCAGUCCUGAAUUGCUGUUUGUAGAUGUUUGCACAGAGCUCAAUAUAAUGGGAUCUGGUUCCAGUUAAGGCCAGUUGUAGUGUACAUGGUAAAUAGUAUGGGGAAAUGACAGCAAACCUAUCUCUUUGGGAGAGCCUCUAAAGUCAAGCAGCAGCAUGUGGACAACAUGGACACUGGCACAAAGACUGGUCCCACAGCCCUGUCCUUACCCAGUUGGAGGAUCACCAGAUAGACAGGGAAGAGGGCUAAAAUGAACUGAAAGAGAAUCUUUCCUUCCUUCCCUGUUCCCUGGUUUCAGGUCCAGCAGAAAGAUAAGCACACAUCUGCCCAAAUUUGGUACCUUGCCUUCAGAAAGAGCUUAUCUGAGCAGGCAAUGUAGGGGUGAGCCCAGUGAUGCACUUUCACAUUUCAAAUCUUUCCAAUAUUUUAAAUUUCACAUUCACUGCCAGCCAGCAGAAUAUCUGAAGCAGGAUGAGUGGGGCAAGUAUGACAGGGUAUGUGUUGUGACAUGAUUUGUGACUUUAGAGCCACUCAUCUCUGAGUGUUUCUAGGGAGAGGGUGUGGAGCAGGACAGUCUCUUCAGGCUGUUCAUUGGUUUUUCUUCACAGUGCACAUGAUGAAGCUUCCUGAUAUUAUCCACUAUGUCAAGUAUUACUCUGUUGCGCAUUAUAGAGCACUCUAGAGCGCACCUCUCAACUAGCCUUGAAAAAGAAACUCACCGAUCCCACGCAAUGAAAGUCCUUAGAGCAAUGUUUUUUCAUAUAAAUAUCAAUUUUGACCAAUUCAUAAUCUUUC